AACGAACGCUGGCGGCAUGCCUAACACAUGCAAGUCGAACGAGACCUUCGGGUCUAGUGGCGCACGGGUGCGUAACGCGUGGGAACCUGCCCUUAGGUUCGGAAUAACUCCCCGAAAGGGGUGCUAAUACCGGAUAAUGUCUUCGGACCAAAGAUUUAUCGCCUUUGGAUGGGCCCGCGUUGGAUUAGCUAGUUGGUAGGGUAAAAGCCUACCAAGGCGACGAUCCAUAGCUGGUCUGAGAGGAUGAUCAGCCACACUGGGACUGAGACACGGCCCAGACUCCUACGGGAGGCAGCAGUGGGGAAUAUUGGACAAUGGGCGAAAGCCUGAUCCAGCAAUGCCGCGUGAGUGAUGAAGGCCUUAGGGUUGUAAAGCUCUUUUACCCGGGAUGAUAAUGACGGUACCGGGAGAAUAAGCUCCGGCUAGCUCCGUG
rnacentral:rRNA from 1 species